UAUGCUAAAUGAUGGGAAAGUCUGGG
rnacentral:piRNA from 1 species